AUUGAACGCUGGCGGCAUGCUUUACACAUGCAAGUCGAACGGUAACAGGCCGCAAGGUGCUGACGAGUGGCGAACGGGUGAGUAAUGCAUCGGAACGUGCCCAGUCGUGGGGGAUAACGCAGCGAAAGCUGCGCUAAUACCGCAUACGAUCUAUGGGUGAAAGCGGGGGACCGUAAGGCCUCGCGCGAUUGGAGCGGCCGAUGUCAGAUUAGGUAGUUGUUGGGGUAAAGGCUCACCAAGCCAGCGAUCUGUAGCUGGUCUGAGAGGACGACCAGCGACACUGGGAGUGAGACAAGGCCGAGACUCCUACGGGGGGAAGCAGUGGGGAAUUUUGGACGAUGGGCGCAAGCCUGAUCCAGCAAUGCCGCGUGCAGGAAGAAGGCCUUCGGGUUGUAAACUGCUUUUGUACGGAACGAAACGGUCCUGGUUAAUACCUGGGGCUAAUGACGGUACCGUAAGAAUAAGCACCGGCUAACUACGUGCCAGCAGCAGCCGCAGUAA
rnacentral:rRNA from 1 species